AGAGUUUGAUCCUGGCUCAGAACGUACGCUGGCGGCACGCCUAACACAUGCAAGUCGAGCGGGGUAGCAAUACCUAGCGGCAGACGGGUGCGUAACAUGUGGGAAUCUGCCUUUUGGUUCGGAACAACAUGGGGAAACCUGUGCUAAUACCGGAUAAGUCCUAACGGAGAAAGUUUUAAUGCCAAAAGAUGAGCCCGCAUUUGAUUAGCUUGUUGGUGAGGUAAAAGCUCACCAAGGCUAUAAUCAAUAGCUGAUUUGAGAGGAUGAUCAGCCACACUGGGACUGAGAUACGGCCCAGACUCCUACGGGAGGCAGCAGUGGGGAAUCUUGCACAAUGGGCGAAAGCCUGAUGCAGCGAUGCCGCGUGAGUGAAGAAGGCCUUUGGGUUGUAAGGCUCUUUUGUCGGGAAAGAUAAUGACUGUACCCGAAGAAUAAGGUCCGGCUAACUUCGUGCCAGCAGCCGCGGUAAUACGAAGGGACCUAGCGUAGUUCGGAAUUACUGGGCGUAAAGAGUAUGUUGGCGGCUAGAUAAGUUAAUUGUGAAAGCCCAAAGCUUAACUUUGGAACUGCAAUUAAAACUAUUUAGCUGGAGUAUGAUAGAGGAAAGCGGAAUACAUAGUGUAGAGGUGAAAUUCGUAGAUAUUAUGUAGAACACCAGUUGCGAAGGCGGCUUUCUGGAUCAUUACUGACGCUGAGAUACGAAAGUAUGGGUAGCGAAGAGGAUUAGAUACCCUCGUAGUCCAUACCAUAAACGAUGAUUAUUAAAUGUGGGGAAUUAUUUCUCUGUAUUAUAGCUAACGCGUUAAAUAGUCCGCCUGGGGAGUACG
rnacentral:rRNA from 1 species